CUACGGGGGGCAGCAGUGGGGAAUAUUGCACAAUGGGCGCAAGCCUGAUGCAGCAACGCCGCGUGAGGGAUGAAGGCCUUCGGGUUGUAAACCUCUUUUAGCAGGGAAGAAGCGAAAGUGACGGUACCUGCAGAAAAAGCACCGGCUAACUACGUGCCAGCAGCCGCGGUAAUACGUAGGGUGCAAGCGUUGUCCGGAAUUAUUGGGCGUAAAGAGCUCGUAGGCGGUUUGUCACGUCUGCUGUGAAAAUCCAAGGCUCAACCUUGGACUUGCAGUGGGUACAGGCAGGCUAGAGUGCGGUAGGGGAGAUGGGAAUUCCUGGUGUAGCGGUGGAAUGCGCAGAUAUCAGAAGGAACACCAAUGGCGAAGGCACAUCUCUGGGCCGUAACUGACGCUGAGGAGCGAAAGCGUGGGGAGCGAACAGGAUUAGAUACCCUAGUAGUC
rnacentral:rRNA from 1 species